AAACUAACAAGGAUUCCCCUAGUAACGGCGAGUGAAGAGGGAAGAGCCCAAGAUUGAAAGCUGGCGUCUUCGGCGUCCGCAUUGUAAUCUCAAGAAGUGUUUUCCGCUUCGGACCAUGCCUAAGUCCCUUGGAAAAGGGCAUCAUAGAGGGUGAUAAUCCCGUACAUGGCAUGGAGCGCCCGAAGCUUUGUGAUACGCUUUCUAAGAGUCGAGUUGUUUGGGAAUGCAGCUCAAAAUGGGUGGUAAAUGCCAUCUAAGGCUAAAUAUUGGGGAGAGACCGAUAGCGAACAAGUACAGUGAUGGAAAGAUGAAAAGAACUUUGAAAAGAGAGUUAAACAGUACGUGAAAUUGCCAAAAGGGAAGGGUAGGAGGUCAGAGAUGCGGCCUGGGAUUCAGCCUUGCUUUUGCUUGGUGUUUUUCCCAGAUUGCAGGCCAACGUCGGUUUUGGGCACUGGAGAAGGGUAGGAGGAACGUGGCACCUCUCGGGGUGUGUUAUAGCCUCCUACUGGAUACAGCGA
rnacentral:rRNA from 1 species